rnacentral:rRNA from 1 species
AGAGUUUGAUCCUGGCUCAGAUUGAACGCUGGCGGCAUGCCUUACACAUGCAAGUCGAACGGUAGCAGGCCUUAGGGCGCUGACGAGUGGCGAACGGGUGAGUAAGACAUCGGAACGUGCCCGAUCGAGGGGGAUAACGGAGCGAAAGCUCUGCUAAUACCGCACAAGAUCCGAGGAUGAAAGCAGGGGACCGAAAGGCCUUGCGCGGACGGAGCGGCCGAUGGCAGAUUAGGUAGUUGGUGGGAUAAAAGCCUACCAAGCCGACGAUCUGUAGCUGGUCUGAGAGGACGACCAGCCACACUGGGACUGAGACACGGCCCAGACUCCUACGGGAGGCAGCAGUGGGGAAUUUUGGACAAUGGGCGCAAGCCUGAUCCAGCCAUGCCGCGUGCAGGAUGAAGGCCCUCGGGUUGUAAACUGCUUUUGUACGGAACGAAAAGGCCCUGGUGAACAACCGGGGUUGCUGACGGUACCGUAAGAAUAAGCACCGGCUAACUACGUGCCAGCAGCCGCGGUAAUACGUAGGGUGCGAGCGUUAAUCGGAAUUACUGGGCGUAAAGCGUGCGCAGGCGGACAUGCAAGACAGAUGUGAAAUCCCCGGGCUCAACCUGGGAACUGCAUAUGUGACUGCAUGACUGGAGUACGGCAGAGGGGGAUGGAAUUCCGCGUGUAGCAGUGAAAUGCGUAGAUAUGCGGAGGA